UGCAGCAAAAUGAAAUACUUAUGAUUCCUUAACAUGCUCAAAGAAAAUAUGAAAGUUCUUCUAUUUUGUUUACAAAAUUGAGAUAGCUGGACGAACGUGCACAAAAAAGAAUGGGCUGCAUGCUGCUUCAAAAUCCUCUUAUGAAACAAAGAUUUCGCCGCAUGAUCCAGAGAAUGCAGGCAUGUUUAAUCUACAUAUUGUGUUUUACUAUCUGAUCCAAUAGACAAGGGAACAUAAUUGCUUGAUUAUUGAAAGAAGAGUCAUCUCCCUGAUUGGCACGAAGAAAGCUAAGCAAUAUCGUGAGAUGGUAAGUCGCUAAGAGAAUCUGCUCAAGAUGGUCAUGAGUUCACUUCAGAAAAUCAGGGAAUGUCAGCAGAUGUUAUCCUAAAGCAUUUUUGGCAACAGCAGAAGAACUUCUUGCUCUGGUAAAGAAACAAUCGCAGCACAAACCACAACUAGCUUCUCCUUUUCCUUGCCGUUGUCACCUUGCUCCGUCUUAUUCCUCAAAUCGUGAUAAUCACAGAGCAGUCGCUGUUGUCCUUGCUAUAUCGGACGUAUGUGUAGUGAAGGGAAAUUAGUGGAUGGUGCAGCAAGGGGCUGAUGGUUAGGAAUGAGGUGGAAACAAAAUUAUUCAAGAACACAGUGAAAUAGAGUUACAAGUUGAGGCAUUAUGUUUGAGGAUACUUUUAUAAGACAAUUAAGGGAAGACCAUUUGAGGAUUAUGUUUUUUUUUUUUUUUACGGGAAAUGCUAUUUAGCCUUUCAUGCUCACAUCUCAAUUUAUCGUAAUUUGAUUUAAUUACUCAUAUUGAUUAAGCUAAACUUAUUUUGUUUAUUUGAUGUUGCUUGAUGGUAUUGCAACUUGCUAUUUUGAUUAUGCAUAAUGCUGUCACACUCACUAUUUUGCCUCUUCAAAAGAAAUCCAAACUGCACUCCAUCCUAAAAAAUUGAUUAGGUAUGCACAUGGUGGCCGAAUUCAAUUAUUUUAGAGGAUCGUCUUUCACCUUCUCUACUAGAUAUGUAAAUCAUCGGGGUAUUAUUUCUAUUAUUAUAUUUCUCUUUCAUUUCCCUUAACAGACUUCUAAAUGUGAUUUCUAUCUUCAUUAAUGGAGUUCACUAUGCAGGUCCCAACUAUAAAUAUUCAGAACAUACUAACAUUGUUUGCUCUGAAUUUUAUAACUCACUCUCAAAAGGCUCCCAUACUCCCUUCCAAUAAUUUUCUGGAGGAUUUUGAUGAGGAUAACAACGGAGUCGUCUAUCCUAUCAAGAACCAGGUGAGUGGUGUGUUGGAGAAACCUUCCUCAAGCCAUCAAAAUCAGUGGUGUGUUGAAGAAACCUUCCUUAAGCCAUCAAAAUCAUUUUUGAGCUUUACUAUGCGGUUGAGUCUGAGAUUUAUUCAAACAUAAUUGAAGCGAUUUACCAAUGACUAAGAAGUAGGAAAGCUUCACUUCAUCGGUUCUUGGAGAAAAGGAAGAAUAGACUCCAACAUUUUACAAGCUUCUCUGCUACCCUUUUGUUGUUUCUCUAUGAAGUGGAUCAAUUAGAUCAGAUGUGUGUUUCUCUAUUUUUGUAAGACUGAGUCCUAUGCUCAAAAAUAUCUAUACAUAUUUGUGAAUGUUGUGGUGCGUCCUUAUUAGUACCAUAUUUAAGAGUGUAUUUCUGAUUGACCCCAAAAACAAUGUACUUAUAGUUAUUUACACUCAUUAUUUGUGAGUGACUCUAUUUAGUAUUAUUGUUAUAGUAAAUGUCCUCAAUAUCAUUCUUCUGAUAUUAAUUGCUUCAUCAACAUGAGUUUUAUAUUUUCGCUCUCAUAACUAGGAUUG